AUUGAACGCUGGCGGCAUGCCUUACACAUGCAAGUCGAACGGCAGCACGGGAGCAAUCCUGGUGGCGAGUGGCGAACGGGUGAGUAAUAUAUCGGAACGUGCCCAGUCGUGGGGAUAACGUAGCGAAAGCUACGCUAAUACCGCAUACGAUCUAUGGAUGAAAGCGGGGGAUCGCAAGACCUCGCGCGAUUGGAGCGGCCGAUAUCAGAUUAGGUAGUUGGUGAGGUAAAGGCUCGCCAAGCCGACGAUCUGUAGCUGGUCUGAGAGGAGACCAGCCACACU
rnacentral:rRNA from 1 species